GUUCUUGAGGUGCAGGCUUUGAGAAUGAUCUGAUGCAUGAGACCCUGCUGAUUUAUCUGUCGCAUGAAGCAAAUACCAAAAUUUUAAUGGAUCAUGAGAUUCUGAGAUUUGCCAUUUUAUUGAGUUGACUGCAGUCAUGUUAUAAAUCCUACCACUGUGUCUGUUUUGGACACAGUAUAUAUUGCAUUAGGAUUUAGCUGGCUGUAACAAAUCAGGGUGUAUGCAGGAAUUUUGAAGUUACAUUAAAUACAUUUAAGGCCUUUUUUAAGACACUAAUCAGACAUUUUAAGACCUAAUCACCACUUUGUUCUAACCAUCAGUAACACAGUGUAACUUACAUUUAUGAUACAUUGAUACAUACCAUAUUUUAGACAUGGCAUAAAAUACAUGCAUUAUAUAUAGUCAUCCGCAGUCUGUACUUAUAGUAAAGCAUGGCAGGAAAAUAUAAAAAUGUCACAGUUAAGUAUUCUCUUCAAAAGUCAAAAUAUGGUAUGGCAUGUAGAUAUUAGAAAAAUGUCAAAGUAUACUAUGACGUAACUAUUUUUUUUCUAAAUGUCUAACAUAAAAUUGUAAAGAAAGCAUAUAGAGUAUAGUAUGGCAUUAAAACAGCAAAAAUAUAAUAUUCCAUUAAAAUAUUUAAACAAUUUCAUGAAAUAGUGUGACAAACAUAAAAAUAGUAUACUGUGGCAUGAAAUAAAUAAAAAUGUCAGUAUAGUGUGACAUAAAAAUAUCAUAGUAUAGUAUGGCAUAGAAAUAUUGUACCAAAUGUCAUAGUGUAGUGUGGCAUAAAAAUAUCAUAAAAAGUGGCAUAGUAUAGUAUGGCAUGAAAAUAUCAUAUAAAGUGCCAUAGUGUAGUAUGGCAUUAAAGUAUCAUAAAACGUGCCAUAGUAUAGUAUGGCAUAAAAAAUAUCAUAAAAAGUGUCAUAGUACACUAUGGCAUAAAAAUAUCAUAAAAAGUGCCAUAGUAUAUUAUGGCAUAAAAAUGUCAUAAAAAGUGUCAUAGUAUAGUAUGGCAUAAAUAUAUCUUAAAAGGUGUCAUAGUAUAGUAUGGCAUGAACAUAUCAUAAAAAGUGUCAUAGUAUGGCAUAAAAAUAUAAAAAGUGUCAUAGUAUAGUAUGGUAUAAAAUUAUCAUAAAAAGUGCCAUAGUAUAGUAUGGCAUAAAAAUAUCAUAAAAAGUGUCAUAGUAUAGUAUGGCAUAAAAAUAUCAUAAAAAGUGUCAUAGUAUAGUAUAGCAUAAAAUUAUCAUAAAACGUGCCAUAAUACAGUAUGGCAUAAAAAUAUCAUAAAAAAUGUCAUAGUAUAGUAUGGCAUAAAAAUUUCAUAAAAAGUGCCAUAGUAUAGUAUGGCAUAAAAAUAUCAUAA